AUGGGGAGCCAGGAACCCUCCGAGCCCCCGUCGCCCGGAGACGCGACGCAGAACAGCGCCCGGCCUGCGGAUCGCCACGGCCUGUUAAAACACUUCUGGGACAUUGCGAAGCCUGAGCAGGAGACGCGACUUGCGGCCACGAAGCUGCCGGAGUAUCUGCGCGCUAGGCCGAAGAUGGAGCGGCGGGGGUCUGAGAUGAAAUACACCCUGAAGCGGCUAAUCACGGGACUCGGGGUCUGGCGAGAAACAGCCCGGCCCUGCUACAGUUUGGCCCUGGCACAGCUGUUACAGUCUUUUGAAGACCUCCAUUUGUGCAGCAUCCUGCAGCAGAUACAAGAAAAAUAUGACCUGCAUCAGGUGAAGAAGGUGAGAGAGGGCCCGGGGAGGACAACUGCUCUCUUUGCAGACCUGUUCAGAGUGCUCGCCCUCUUUCAGUCAGGCUGGCUGGUGAAGGACCAGGAGGUGCUGAGGAAGUCAGUGAAGCUGCUGCAGGCCCUGGCCCAGUAUCAGAACCACUUGCAGGAGCAGCCCCAGAAAGCCCUGGUGGACAUUCUCUUCGAGGUCUCGGAGGCCAUGUUGCAGGAGAUGCUGCCAGAGGUCCUCAGCACUGACUUGGAUGCGAUGCUCAGCUGCCCUGAACAGCUGGGGCUCUUCCUCCUGGCCCAGCAGAAAGUUCCCUCUAGGCUCAAGAAGCUGGUGGGAUCCGUCAACCUAUUUUCGGAUGAGAAUGUUCCCAGGAUGGUGAACAUGCUGAAGAUGGCAGUGUCCUCAGUGAAGAAGGAAUGAAAGCUGCCUGCCGUCGCCCUGGAGCUGCUCUCUCAAGGAAGACAAGUUUCUGCAGUUCUGGAAGGGGAUGGUGGAACAGGGGCUGCUGAAGCUUCAGUUCUGGCCAGCCAGCUACCUGUGUUUCUGCCUGCUGGGCACCACCCUUCCCCUGCUGACCAAGGAACAGCUGCAGCUGGUGAUGCAGGGAGACGUGAUCCGCCAUUACAUGGAGCACAUGUGCACGGCCAAGCUCCCAAACCAGUUCAAGUUCCCUGGAGAUGGAGGAAUACAUGGACACCUUCCUAGAGGGAUGCUGGUAUGACCCUGAGCAGCAGCUGGCCGUGCUGGUGGCCUUCUCCCCCACCACCAACCACGGUCUCCCAGUGGUGCCUACCUUCUGGUGGGUCAUGCGGUUCCUGAGCUCUUGGGCCCUGCAGGGCUAUGUGGCCUGGCUGCAGGGCAUGUUUCUCUAGCCAAACCUGGACUCCUUGAUUGACUUAAGCACCAACACUGAAGAAAGCUCAGCACUGCACGUGCCUGAGCGAGCUGUGUUCUGGCUGCGGAAAUGGAUCAUCCUCAGACUGGUGAGCCUUGUGGAGAUGGAGGAGGCCUUGACGGAGGAGGUGGCCAGGUUUUUGUUUGUUCACUCGUUCUUUGUCACAAAGAAGCCCACAUCCCAGAUCCCUGAGACAAGGCGGCAGCUCUCCCUCCCUUUGGAACGCCAGGUCCAAGAGACCAUCAGCAGCACCUUCUUCAGUCUGCUGCAGACCCUUAGCACACAGUUCAAGCUGGCACCGGAGCAGACCUGGGGCGGGCAGCCCUGGACCUACCACCUGGUACAUUUUGCAGACCUGCUACUAAAUCACAGCCACAGCAUGAGCCCCAUGACACCCCUCACUGUGCAGCAGCGCCAGGCCUGGGACGGGAUGCUGCAGACUCUGAAGGAGCUGGAGGCCCCUCCUCAGAACCCAGGGCUGCCACCUUCCAACACCUUCUGCUGCUCAUGGUCAUCUACCUCUUCAAGUCCCCUACAGAGAGCUGUGACCUGCUGGGUGACAUCCAGACCUACAUCAGAAACAGCCUGGGAGAGAGACGCCAUGGGAGCCACACCAAGGCCAUUGAUCCCCAGGAGCCACCAUGGGUAGAGGUGCUGGUGGAGAUCCUGCUGGCCCAGCCCAGCCACCUCAUGUGUCAAGUGGCCCAGAGCAUGUUCGACCACGUCUGCUCUCACCUGACCCCGCGUGCCCGCUGAUUCUGGAUGUGAGUGCUGAACCCGGAGAUCAGUGAGGGUGAGGAUGACCAUGUGGUGGUGAUGGACGAGUCUGACGAGUGGUGGCUGAAGGCUGCAGAGGACAAGAGCGAGGACAGCGAGGAGAGCAGAGGCUCAGAGAGUAAAGAUGAGAGCGAUGUUGGGGAGAGCGAGGAGAAGGAGGAGUGUGACAGGACGUGGACCAGGGCUUCUGGGUACAGCUGAUGAGUGUGCUGCAGGCUGCGAAGGCGCUGGGUGGAGUGGAAAGUGAGGAUGAGGAGGAGCUGGGGGAUGAGGCCAUGAUGGUCCUGGACCAGAACCACUCCAGCCUCUUUGCUGAGCAGAAGCUGUGGAUCCAGGCCCGGCAGGACAAGAAGAGCAAACCACAGAAGGAGAAGGUGCUGCAGUGUGACUUCCAGAUUUGGGUGCUGGACCUGGUGGAGGUGCUGGUGACCAAGCAGCGAACGUCCUGAUCCUGGAGCUGCUGGAGCCACUGCUGGGAAUCAUUCAGUGCAGCCUGCGCAGCAGCAGCUCUAAGCAGGAGCAGGACCUCCUGCACAAGAUGGUGUACAUCUUCACGCACCACCUGUGCCGUGGCCGUCACUACUGCCAUGACUUGGGUGACCACGUCGAGGCCCUGCAUGGCCAGGUGGUGCGGCUGGUGGAGCAGGCUGGCCGCCAGCUCAAUUCCACCACCCUCUACCACUUAAAUGCCUCCAUCUACCUGCUCUGAAUCUUGAAGGGCAGCACUGUGUGCAUGAGACGCAGGAGGAGUUGGAGGCUGGCACCGACCCCAGCCCCAUGUCCGAGGGCUCGCAGGCUGCUGGCUGCCUGGACUUGAACCUCACAAUGCAUGUCUACUCAUCAGCACUGAGCUCCUUCCUGACCAAGUGCCACAGCCCCCUCACGGUCCCCAUGUUCUUCAGCCUCUUCUCCUGGCACCCAGUGCUCUGUAAGAGCCUGCUCCCCAUCCUGGUCUAGCACGUCACAAGCCCAGGGUGGCCCCGCCAGCCCACCUGCCUGCUGCUCCUGUCCAUGCGGGAGGUGAGGUCGUGCUUCCAGGACUCGGAGCAGAAGCAGCUGAUCAGCCAGGUCCUGACAAAGGUCAUGGAGCCCUCCAGAGUACCUCAGCCUGGCCACCCCUCCCCAGAACCUGUGCAGACCAAGGCAGAGCACCAGCAGGUGCUGUCCUCCCUGGAGCUGCUCAGUACUGUCUUCAGGACCUGUAAACAUGAGAAGCUGACCUUGGACCUGACAGUGCUCUUGGGCAUGCUGCAGGGGCAGCAGCAGGGCCUGAGGCAGGGGGUGCACUCCACCGGCUCCAGUUGCCUACUUGACCUCUACUGGCAGGCCAUGAAAACCCUGGGAGUCAGGCACCCCAAGUUGGAGAACGAUACCAAGGAGAUCCCCAGUGCCACCCAGAGCCCCGUCAGCAGGAAGCAGAAAAAGGGAUUCUUGCCAGAGACAAUCACAAGAAACAUGUCAGAGGAUGGCACACUUGCAGCCACUGGUGGGAGCCAGCUGGCACAUGCAGCAAGAGGAACAGGAUGAAGGGCAAGGUCUAGACCAGGUGAACGGGAUGCCUACCACCAAGGGCCCAGCCCCUGGUGCUCCCACCCUGAGCCCCAACACUGCUGCCAAGUCCACAAAACUGCAGAAGAAAAACCGGAAGCUGUCCAAGGUGAAUGGAGCUCCCAACUCCCAUGAAGCCUGCAGGCCAAAAGCAGCACCACGAGGCCAUUCUCAAAAAGGGGGUCUUGGACAAAUCACCACCAUCCACACUGGCACAGAAAAAGGCAAGGCCACCUUUGGUCAUCAGGAGCCCCAGCCUGCUCCAGAGUGGGACCAAGAAGAAAACGCAGCUGAGGAAGGUGGGGAAGCCGAGUGCAGGCCACCCUCAGCCUCCAUCUGCCCAAUAAUCCUGUUUUUCCACCAUGAUUUGAAUAUGCAAGCUAUUUCUAAGGCUCUGUCCCCAGGGAGGGUGUCACUGCCUGCCCAGGCAUCCUGCUCUGGUAAGCACAGCCCAAGCCGUUCCUGCAGGGGUCCCAGGAUGCAGAGACACCCCCCCCCCCGGUUCUAGGCUGGGACUGUGGCUUCAGGGCCCUGUGGGCCAGGUCCAGGGCUCUGGGGUUCACCUGGGUGGGUACAGGGUGACAUGCUGGCUGCAGGCUGGGUACAGGU